rnacentral:rRNA from 1 species
ACGAACGCUGGCGGCGUGCUUAACACAUGCAAGUCGAACGGGUCUGCCCUGUUUUUUGCGGGGUGGGUCAGUGGCGAACGGGUGAGUAACACGUGAGUAACCUGCCCCUCACUUCUGGAUAACCGCUUGAAAGGGUGGCUAAUACGGGGUGUUCUGGCUGUGCCGCAUGGUGUGGCUGGGAAGGAUUCACUUUUGUGGUGUUUUGGUGGGGGAUGGGCUCGCGGCCUAUCAGCUUGUUGGUGGGGUGAUGGCCUGCCAAGGCUUUGACGGGUAGCCGGCCUGAGAGGGUGGGCGGUCACACUGGGACUGAGAUACGGCCCAGACUCCUGCGGGAGGCAGCAGUGGGGGGUAUUGCACAAUGGGCGGAAGCCUGAUGCAGCGACGUCGCGUGAGGGAUGGAGGCCUUCGGGUUGUGAACCUCUUUCGCCGGUGAAGAAGGUCCUGCUCUUUGUGGUGGGGUUGACGGUAGCCGGGUUAUGAAGCGCCGGCUAACUACGUG